rnacentral:rRNA from 1 species
GAUAAACGCUGGCGGCGUGCCUAACACAUGCAAGUCGAACGAUGAAGCUUAAAAGAUUUCUUCGGAAUGAACUUAAUUGGAUUAGUGGCGGACGGGUGAGUAACGCGUGAGUAACCUGCCUUGUACAAGGGGAUAGCCGUUGGAAACGACGAAUAAUACCCUAUGACAUCAAAUAAUCGCAUGAUAAUUUGAUCAAAGAUUUAUCGGUAUAAGAUGGACUCGCGUCUGAUUAGCUAGUUGGUAGAGUAAAAGCCGACCAAGGCAACGAGCAGUAGCCGGCUUGAGAGAGUGUACGGCCACAUUGAGACUGAGACACGGCCCAGACUCCUACGAGAGGUAGCAGUGGUGAAUUUUGCACAAUGGGGGAAACCCUGAUGCAGCGACUCCGCGUGAUUGAGAAGGCCUUUGGGUUGUAAAAUUCUUUUGUAUGGGAAGAAAAUGACAGUACCAGACGAAUAAGGACCGGCUAAUUACGUG